rnacentral:rRNA from 1 species
UGAACGCUGGCGGUAUGCCUAACACAUGCAAGUCGUACGAGGGUUUUUAACUCUAGUGGCGGACGGGUGAGUAACACGUGAGAAUUUGCCUUUAGGAGGGGGAUAACAAUCGGAAACGAAUGCUAAUACCCCAUAUGCUUUUGAGUGAAAUGGGUUUAUCCGCCUAAAGAGAAGCUCGCGGCUGAUUAGCUUGUUGGUAGGGUAAGAGCUUACCAAGGCGACGAUCAGUAUCUGGUUUGAGAGGACGAUCAGACACACUGGAACUGAGACACGGUCCAGACUCCUACGGGAGGCAGCAGUGGGGAAUUUUCCGCAAUGGGCGAAAGCCUGACGGAGCAAUACCGCGUGAGGGAAGACUGCCUAUGGGUUGUAAACCUCUUUUUCAGGGAGGAAUAAAUGACGUGUACCUGAAGAAUAAGCAUCGGCUAACUCCGUGCCAGCAG